GAUGAACGCUGGCGGCGUGCCUAAUACAUGCAAGUCGAGCGAACAGACGAGAGUGCUUGCACUCUCUGACGUUAGCGGCGGACGGGUGAGUAACACGUGGGUAACCUACCUAUAAGACUGGGAUAACUUCGGGAAACCGGAGCUAAUACCGGAUAAUAUUUAGCUUCGCAUGAAGCAAUAGUGAAAGACGGUUCUGCUGUCACUUAUAGAUGGACCCGCGGUGUAUUAGCUAGUUGGUGAGGUAACGGCUCACCAAGGCAACGAUACAUAGCCGACCUGAGAGGGUGAUCGGCCACACUGGGACUGAGACACGGCCCAGACUCCUACGGGAGGCAGCAGUAGGGAAUCUUCCGCAAUGGACGAAAGUCUGACGGAGCAAUGCCGCGUGAGUGAAGAAGGUUUUCUGAUCGUAAAACUCUGUUGUAAGGGAAGAACAAGUACGUUAGUAACUGAACGUACCUUGACGGUACCUUACCAGAAAGCCACGGCUAACUACGUG
rnacentral:rRNA from 1 species